UACGGAGGGUGCGAGCGUUGUCCGGAAUCAUUGGGCGUAAAGCGCGUGUAGGCGGCUCGGUAAGUCUGCUGUGAAAGUCCAGGGCUCAACCCUGGGAUGCCGGUGGAUACUGUCGAGCUCGAGUCCGGAAGAGGCGAGUGGAAUUCCUGGUGUAGCGGUGAAAUGCGCAGAUAUCAGGAGGAACACCAAUGGCGAAGGCAGCUCGCUGGGACGUGACUGACGCUGAGACGCGAAAGCGUGGGGAGCAAACAGG
rnacentral:rRNA from 1 species